UGAAAGCAUCUAAGCAUGAAGCCCCCCUCGAGAUGAGAUUUCCCAUCACGUAAGUGAGUAAGAUCCCUAGAAGAUGACUAGGUAGAUAGGUCAGAGAUGGAAGCAUGGCGACAUGUGGAGUUGACUGAUACUAAUCGAUCGAGGACUUAACCACAA
rnacentral:rRNA from 1 species